ACUCCUACGGGAGGCAGCAGUGGGGAAUAUUGCACAAUGGGCGGCAAGCCUGAUGCAGCCAUGCCGCGUGUAUGAAGAAGGCCUUCGGGUUGUAAAGUACUUUCAGUCGUGAGGAAGGCGGCGUCGUAAUAGCGGCGUUGUUUGACGUUAGCGACAGAAGAAGCACCGGCUAACUCCGUGCCAGCAGCCGCGGUAAUACGGAGGGUGCGAGCGUUAAUCGGAAUUACUGGGCGUAAAGCGCAUGCAGGUGGUUUGUUAAGUCAGAUGUGAAAGCCCGGGGCUCAACCUCGGAAUUGCAUUUGAAACUGGCAGACUAGAGUACUGGUAGAGGGGGUUAGAAUUUCAGGUGUAGCGGUGAAAUGCGUAGAGAUCUGAAGGAAUACCGGUGGCGAAGGCGGCCCCUGGACAGAUACUGACACUCAGAUGCGAAAGCGUGGGAGCAAACAGGAUUAGAUACCCCGUGGUAGGACAGUG
rnacentral:rRNA from 1 species